UCGCUUUGCUUGUAUCGCCGAGAAGAACCGAAGCCGUCACAGCGUGCUUAGACACGAUGCCGUCCAGAUCGGCGUGGAGCUGUGACUCUGGAGAAGCGACAGCCGGGUGAGGACGUGCCACCGGCACGACACAGCAUCCCGGGCAGCUCCCUCCUCCAGCGCCGGCAUCGCUCUGCCCCCAGCCCUGGCUUUGCCCGCUCAGAUCUCAGGAUGCUUCGAGGUACUUUCAUUUUGCUACACAAUAUUGGACACACACAAUCGGCGUGAAGAGGGCUGGUUUUGGAAACCAGAGCAUGGCAACGCAAGGCAGGUUGUCCGUCGAAUGCUGUCUCUGCUUGGCAUCUUGACCUGCUGAAGCUGGCGAAGGAACCUGCUGGCAGGCACAAAGCCAUCCGAGCAGAUGGGCACGCGUGCGGGCAGAGAGGAGACCGUGUAGGAGCAUUUAGGCUCUUAGUAAAGGGCAGAAUUCCUGGACAGGCAUAUUAAACCACGGCUGUUAUUAGGGGGUAUGCCUGCAGUACACUUUAUUUUGGGUUCCGAUGAAGGAAAGGCAAAAUUAUAAAAGAAGGAAGAAAGAUCUCAAAGUUUCUGUUUCUUCAUGGCAUCCUGCCAAGGAAUCCUACGAAGAUUGCUUAGCGGUGAUUUUGCUGAAUAGCUGUAGGAUUCUGCAACUGUCAAUGUUAACUCGGGAAUCACAGUAUGAAAAUCAGAAUUUUCUGAGAGAUGCGUUUGGUGAAACAAGCUCAUUUAUUUACCUUCCCAGCUAGCAAAGACACAUCUAGGGUCGGCCCGGCUUCCCCGCUGCCGAUUCCUCAGCCCGCGGGAGGACGCGGAGGGAAGGAGCCGCCUUGGUGUCAGACCUGUCGUCUGCGGCUGCAGAGAGACGCCAAAAUAUGUGCAGCUGGUGCCAGCGUUUCACGUGGGAAACCUCCGAAGAUGAAGAAGAGCCGGACUGGGGAAUAAGUCUUUAAUCACAUGGAGGAAGUCGAUGCGUCUAAUCCUCAAGUCUGUAGUAUUGCCCGGCUAGAGUCUCUACUGGAGUCCUAAAGUGUCAGUAAUUUCAUACGGGAAUAUAAAUAAUCCAGAGCAAAUCUGGCUGACCGCUGCUCUGCAGUUAUCUCUUCAAUUUCCCCAAAAUUUUGCUUGAGGACUUCACCCAGUCAAUUUGGCUAGCUGCAAUAAGAACAACAAAAGCUAUUUCUUUCAAGCGAAGAAAUUGCGGGGAUCCUUUCCGUGAGAAGUCGAGUGUCCUGCUGCAACAGGGGAUGGCAAAGGAAAUACUUCACAACCUCACAAAUGACUGCAUUAAUUAGGAGGGUGAUGAAUAGCGUUCAACCUAUGUAAAUAAAUGUGUGCCUGAGAUUCGAGACCAAUGAAAGUGCAGCUAUGUUUUAGUGGACCGCGGUAUCAUAUUUCAUAUAGUAAAAGUUGUGAGGGAAGAGGAGUGAUAUUUAUGGAGUGCAAAGCACUGUGGGAUUUUGUGGGAAACCACAUAUAUUCAGCUUGUCAGAAAACAUCUUAAUAUUUACUCUUACAAUCCCUAGGCUACUGCUUUCUAAACCUAAAGCUUUCAUUAGCCCAUUUACCAGAUAUAAAACAUUUGUAAGUCUGUUGAAAGAGUUACUUUCAGGAGUGGCAUUUUUCACAGCAAAACGAUGAUACCUUUACAUAACCUUAUUAUGCAGUGAUGUCAAAGCCUGCGAGUGAGCUGGCUUAGCCCCUUGAAUUAAUUCGCUAUUCUCACAUUUGUCUUUGCGGCAUCUGAUUAUUCCGGACCGUUCCCUCAGUACUAUUAUUUCAUACCACGAGGAAUGCCACUUUCUGGGUACCGAAUUGCCAUCUCGCUCCAUCGCCACGCUAAGCUCUGGACUUUCAGGAACGCAAGCGCCGGAGGACGAGCAUCGCUCAGAUCCCAUCUUAUCCCACGUCUGCUGCUACCCGGCUGCUCCUGAUGCCUCGGCGGGCUCGCGUCCUGCACGGCUUACCGACGGCGGAAAAAAAGCCUUCAUUCCCUCCUGUCACUUUGGGCCUCUGAAGAUUUUACGAUGGGAAGUUUUAUAAAUUGAAAACAGACAAAUACUUCUUAAAAUCUAAAUAAGGAUGAUAUUUGCUGUGGUCAAAAUACAUAUUUUUCACCCGCGUUGCAUGCACGAUAUGUUGCAUUAAGAAAGGUUAAUUCUAUAUUAAAUAUAAUCAAAAACACAACAUGGGGCCUGCCAUGCUGACAUGGUGCAAUAGGUACUUUAAUACUGCUCAGCAGGAACCCUUGUUAUAUUUUUUAUAUGUUAGUAGAUGUCUACUUAGAAUUGAUCAAACCUUUCCUUCUGAAACAUAUAUGCCAACACCUCCACAACACACUAUAAACUAGACUCUCAGAAAACAAUAAUGAUGCUUAUCAGUCACUCGCCUUGAGUUUGCUUGUGAAAAACCUCUAGCUAGUAUGCUAUUGGAGCUCUUAAAACAUAGAUCUUUUUGCUGCACUGAUAAUUCACUCACAGCUUGAGAUUGAUGACUAUGUGAAGUCCAUAAAAGAUGUUACCACUAUAUUUUCUUCUUAUGAUUUAUUUUAUCAUGUUGUCAAGGUUUGCAGAAAACAAGAAACAAAUCAAUGAAUGUCAUGCUUAAAUA